UACGUAGGGUGCGAGCGUUGUCCGGAAUUAUUGGGCGUAAAGAGCUCGUAGGCGGCUUGUCGCGUCGGAUGUGAAAGCCCGGGGCUCAACCCCGGGAGGCGGGCGGAUACUGUCGGGCUAGAGUCCGGAAGAGGCGAGUGGAAUUCCUGGUGUAGCGGUGAAAUGCGCAGAUAUCAGGAGGAACACCGAUGGCGAAGGCAGCUCGCUGGGACGGUACUGACGCUGAGGCGCGAAAGCGUGGGGAGCAAACAGG
rnacentral:rRNA from 1 species